UUAUUUGAGAGUUUGAUCCUGGCUCAGGAUGAACGCUGGCGGCGUGCCUAACACAUGCAAGUCGAGCGGGGUUGUGGAGUAGCUUGCUACGAAGCAAUCUAGCGGCGGACGGGUGAGUAACGCGUGGGCAACCUGCCCUAUACAGGGGGAUAACACACCGAAAGGUGUGCUAAUACCCCAUAACACCGAUGCUUCGC
rnacentral:rRNA from 1 species